GUUAACGCUAGCGGUGCGCCUAACACAUGCAAGUCGAGCGGUAUUGGUAUUUUAAAGAUUUUCGGAUUGAUAAAAUAUUGAGAGAGCGGCGAACGGGUGAGUAACACGUUGGUACAUGCCCCCAAGUCAGGGAUAGCCAGAAGAAAUUCUGAUUAAUACCGGAUAGUCUCUUUGGAGUAAAAAUUUAUUGCUUGGGGAGUGGCCUGCGUUCUAUCAGCUAGUUGGUGAGGUAAUAGCUCACCAAGGCUAUGACGGAUACUUGGUCUGAGAGGAUGAUCAGGCACAAUGGAACUGAGACACGGUCCAUACUCCUACGGGAGGCAGCAGUGAGGAAUCUUCCACAAUGGACGAAAGUCUGAUGGAGCGACACCGCGUGAAGGAUGAAGGCCUAACGGUUGUAAACUUCUUUUCUGAAGGAGCAUAAUGAGAGUACUUCAGGAAUAAGGGACGGCUAAAUACGU
rnacentral:rRNA from 1 species